rnacentral:rRNA from 1 species
GACGAACGCUGGCGGCGUGCUUAACACAUGCAAGUCGAACGGAAAGGCCCUGCUUUUGUGGGGUGCUCGAGUGGCGAACGGGUGAGUAACACGUGAGUAACCUGCCCUUGACUUUGGGAUAACUUCAGGAAACUGGGGCUAAUACCGGAUAUGAGCUCCUGCUGCAUGGUGGGGGUUGGAAAGUUUCGGCGGUUGGGGAUGGACUCGCGGCUUAUCAGCUUGUUGGUGGGGUAGUGGCUUACCAAGGCUUUGACGGGUAGCCGUCCUGAGAGGGUGACCGGGCACAUUGGGACUGAGAUACGGACCAGAAUCCUACGGGAGGCAGCAGGGGGGAAUAUUGCACAAUGGGCGGAAGCCUGAUGCAGCAACGCCGCGUGCGGGAUGACGGCCCUCGGGUUGUAAACAGCUUUCGCCUGUGACGAAGCGUGAGUGACGGUAAUGGGUAAAGAAGCACCGGCUAACUACGUG